CAAAAACAAAUGGUUGUUGGUGGUUUUGGAUCCCAGAUGUUUAUGUGGAAUUUUGAACCCACUGUAUAAAAACGCAAAGCCAACAAAUUACCUUGCUCCACACUCCACCUAAUUUAAUACAUACAUUGCAAUACCACGCACUACCACUAAGGGGCGGCACAGACAAAGAACCAUCCUCGUUCUGGGUUUAAAAAACGGACUCGUCUGACUGCCUCAGUCCUGAAGUGAAAACUUUGUAAUGAAACACAAAUUAGAAUCUAACAGAAAUAACACUUUCAAAAGAGAAUACAUCAACAAAAUAGGCUGCGACACGAUCCCAGUAAAGCAUAAACACAAGAUCCACCAAAUAGCCUUCACAUAAAAACCUGAAAUGAAGCGACUAAAGACAUGAAGUGUGCAGGACGUCCUCUUUAAUGGAGGCCCAAGCCAUGCGUGGUGUGGUGAAGCUGGCAGCCCAGUCCCCGGUGGAGGACACAACAAUAGCUCCUCCGCAACCCUUCACUCUCUCUCCCAUGUACUGAAGUGAGGCUUCAGCGGCGGCUGUGGCUGAUUUCCCUGCAUUUCACAAAGGAACCACUCAAAAUCAUGGGUAAUGCAGUUUUUACCAGGAAUCCCAUCGUUGGACAAUAAAACAUCAAUAAAAGCAUUUCUGUCAGGACUACCAUUGUCAAAUAUGACUGACAAUUAACACAGUGUGGACUGGCAGUAUGGUUCUGUUCUGGGCAAAACCUCCCAGCCUAGCAUUGAUAAGAGCAGGGAGAGCAGCAAUAACCCCCAAUAUCAUUAAUGUUCUUAAUGACAAUUUAAUGUAAGAACAUAAUCUAGGAUAGGAAUAUCAACUAGGAAUAUUGAAUGUUAAGUCUUGACUGUGGAAGAAAGGAGGAGCUGGGGAUGGAGAAGGGUAACCAUGGAUUAGUAGGUAGUCAUGGAUUAGUUAAGAGUCAGCUGAUACGAGCUUGACUGACGUGACCUGCCAGAACUAAUGCUGUGCUUGAUAUAUAUAAUUGAUUAACAACCUUGUAGCACACAUUAGGUCUAGGAUAGGCAAGUUUUCAUUGAAAUGGAAAAAGUGAAUGGAAUUUCAUUUUUGAACUCUACCAUUGCUCUCUAUUCUAUUUUUUUUCAUACAUAUUUUUUCGAAAUGUAUUUUGACCCUGAAUAGUGGUAUCCAUAUUUAUUAAAUGAAUGAGAUUUAUCCAAUACUUAAAUCUGUUUUGAUCAAUAUUCUAUGAAUAGGAAGUUCUGGCACAUCGGUGACUGUUGUAUUAUAAAAGCGUGGUCAGACCAGAAGGGCAGAGGUAGGCCAUGUAAUCACCUAAAUAAAGGUGGAGGGUAAUUGAGUUCUAGGACCUGUGUGUUAAAAAGCCCAGUGAUGGCAGUACAGGGCGAGCAGAGGGAGGCUAUCAAUAAUGAAGCCACAGUGGGGCAGGAUGAAAGGCAGUAGCUCAGCCAACUGACACUUAGCACCUCCACAGCACUAUUUUUACAGACUCCCUCAGGGGCUGAGGUUACACCCCGCCAUGGCCCUGACUCCACUACUACUCAACACUCUUUGCUGGAGCCCACACAGCUCUAACUGCACUGCCUAAGGCCUCAGGGAAUGACAGUUCUGUGCAGGCCAGCACGUCAAUAUGCUGCCAUUCUCAGCCCAUUGCCUCAAUGCCAAGAAGAGCCACUUUUAAAACUCUAGAUUUUCAUCCUUUUCUUUUUUUCAUGAUAGUUGAAAGAGAAAUUAUUCAAGCAACACCAAAUACUUUCCCUGCAAGAACACAAAAAACAUAUCUUUCCAAAGAUGCUGUUGACAAUUUACUUCAACUGUACAGUCGUCAAAAUCAGUGUCUGAAAUGAAAUAUGUCAAGAGAACAGGAACUAUUAAAAACAUCUCAAAGCACAAAAUUGACAAAAUUACCCACCAUUGU